GGGUUGUGAGGUUAAGCGACUAAGCGUACACGGUGGAUGCCCUGGCAGUCAGAGGCGAUGAAGGGCGUGCUAAUCUGCGAUAAGCGCCGGUAAGGUGAUAUGAACCGUUAUAACCGGCGAUACCCGAAUGGGGAAACCCAGUGUGACUCGUCACACUAUCAUUAACUGAAUCCAUAGGUUAAUGAGGCGAACCGGGGGAACUGAAACAUCUAAGUACCCCGAGGAAAAGAAAUCAACCGAGAUUCCCCCAGUAGCGGCGAGCGAACGGGGAGGAGCCCAGAGCCUGAAUCAGCAUGUGUGUUAGUGGAAGCGUCUGGAAAGGCGCGCGAUACAGGGUGACAGCCCCGUACACAAAAGCGCAUGUGCUGUGAGCUCGAUGAGUAGGGCGGGACACGUGGUAUCCUGUCUGAAUAUGGGGGGACCAUCCUCCAAGGCUAAAUACUCCUGACUGACCGAUAGUGAACCAGUACCGUGAGGGAAAGGCGAAAAGAACCCCGGCGAGGGGAGUGAAAAAGAACCUGAAACCGUGUACGUACAAGCAGUGGGAGCACCCUUUGGGGUGUGACUGCGUACCUUUUGUAUAAUGGGUCAGCGACUUAUAUUCUGUAGCAAGGUUAACCGAAUAGGGGAGCCGGAGGGAAACCGAGUCUUAAUUGGGCGUUAA
rnacentral:rRNA from 1 species